AAUUUGAUUGGAAUUUACAUGCAUACAUGCGCAUCGCCUCAGUUCUGCACGAAUUUUUGUAGUUUUACUAGCAAAGUAUUGACAGAAAGAGGACGGUGAAUAUGAACAGCAGUUUAAUUCAAGUAUUGUUCAUGGUUGUUUUGUUUCUUCAUAUAAGUCAGAAUGUAGAUGGUUCAUGCCCACCAAAUUCGGUAUUUGAUCCAACGGAAGAAAAGUGUGUAUGUCAAGUUGGAUACUCAUGAGUCGAGGCUACUAACAUAUGUUAUCCGGACGGCGGUGCAUAUGGUAAUCCAGGUAAUCCAGGUGAUGGUAGAAGGUAAUUCUUGGAACAGAGCAAGAUAUAGCCAAAAAUAAAUAUACAUAGAUCAA